UAGAUUUGGGUACGGAACGUUUGAACUGUGAGAAUCUAGAUACCAUGACUGAGAGGUGGGAGGAUCCAAACAAUCCUUCUUUUGUAACUGUUCUCUUACGCUUCUUUGGCAACAUAUUUGUUGAUUGCUUUAGAGCCAUAUUUGAAUAAGUGUAGACGGCCUCAGCGGAGGGAGCGUCAAGUGAAUUGAGCCUUUCGGACCGAACAAUUGUAUAAAUUUAUCAUAAUAAA